rnacentral:rRNA from 1 species
UACGUAGGUGGCAAGCGUUGUCCGGAUUUACUGGGCGUAAAGAGCGCGCAGGCGGUCGUUCAAGUCGAGUGUGAAAGCCCCCGGCUCAACUGGGGAGGGUCAUUCGAUACUGAUCGACUCGAAGGCAGGAGAGGGAAGUGGAAUUCCCGGUGUAGUGGUGAAAUGCGUAGAUAUCGGGAGGAACACCAGUGGCGAAGGCGACUUCCUGGCCUGUUCUUGACGCUGAGGCGCGAAAGCCAGGGGAGCAAACGGG